rnacentral:rRNA from 1 species
CUACGGAGGGUCCGAGCGUUAUCCGGAAUCAUUGGGUUUAAAGGGUCCGUAGGCGGGAAUCUAAGUCAGUGGUGAAAUCUUGCAGCUCAACUGUAAAAUUGCCAUUGAUACUGGAUUUCUUGAAUUAGUGUGAAGUGGUUAGAAUGUGUAGUGUAGCGGUGAAAUGCAUAGAUAUUACACAGAAUACCAAUUGCGAAGGCAGAUCACUAACACUAUAUUGACGCUAAGGGACGAAAGCGUGGGGAGCGAACAGGAUUAGAAACCCGAGUAGUCC